CUAACUUUCCAGCUACACAAACUUCCCACCCAGUGGCCGGAUGGAUUCCUGUGGCUUUGUCCAUUGAGGAGACCGAGAGACCGCUAAUAGGAACUGGGUUGGAAAGGUGAAGAUUCAGGGAAGACUGGGAAGCAGCCUCAGAAUUUUACGGGAGUUAAUGCUUUUCUCAGUAUGUACCAUGCUGACAGCUUCCAGUCAAGAAGUGACUCCUCACGCAUCUGUCACCAUAGUUUAUGUGGACCACAACACCAUCAUGCCCACCGAAUUUAACCAGGACCCUCGAAACCAAAGAGUGUAUCGGAGAGAGAGGGGAGAGACCGCAAAGUCUGCAGCCAGGAAGGUAAGAAGAGGACGCUGUGGGAGCAAUAUCAGAAGCUCUGGAAACAGGAGGACGGGGAGAGGCAGGGCUAGUGUCGUCCGCGGAGAGGAGGGCAGGAGCAGAGCCAGCGAGGGGCCCUGAGUGGGGCGUCGGCGGAGCUGCUGCAGACAGCUGGAACUGCCGCUGACCUGGGA